rnacentral:tRNA from 1 species
GUGCCUAUGGUGUAGCGGUAACACACGGGUUUGUGGUACCUGUAUCGAGGGUUCAACUCCCUCUAGGCACCCCA